AAAUUUGGAGCAGCGGAGGAAAAGUCUGUUUCUUCAUUGAUCACUGGAGAAGGUUGAUCUAGCUGACUAGGUGAUUUUUUUCAUCUCUCCUCAUAUUUUUCUGCAAACCUUACAAUUUGUACAUUGAGAUGAAGUGUACCAUGCUGUAUCCUAUGCUGCCACAGAGUGUCUCCUUCUAGAUCCUCCAAAGAAGAUUAAAGUCAGUUUGUAGAAUGCAGAGCAGCCAGCUCUCCAAGACUUGAGACACACCCAAAUGAAAGUCUGUGUACCACAGUUUACCUUCGAUU
rnacentral:snRNA from 1 species